AGAGUUUGAUCAUGGCUCAGGACGAACGCUGGCGGCGUGCUUAACACAUGCAAGUCGAACGGAAAGGCCCUGCUUUUGUGGGGUGCUCGAGUGGCGAACGGGUGAGUAACACGUGAGUAACCUGCCCUUGACUUUGGGAUAACUUCAGGAAACUGGGGCUAAUACCGGAUAGGAGCUCCUGCUGCAUGGUGGGGGUUGGAAAGUUUCGGCGGUUGGGGAUGGACUCGCGGCUUAUCAGCUUGUUGGUGGGGUAGUGGCUUACCAAGGCUUUGACGGGUAGCCGGCCUGAGAGGGUGACCGGCCACGUUGGGACUGAGAUACGGCCCAGACUCCUACGGGAGGCAGCAGUGGGGAAUAUUGCACAAUGGGCGGAAGCCUGAUGCAGCAACGCCGCGUGCGGGAUGACGGCCUUCGGGUUGUAAACCGCUUUCGCCUGUGACGAAGCGUGAGUGACGGUAAUGG
rnacentral:rRNA from 1 species